CCUACGGGCGGCAGCAGUGGGGAAUAUUGGGCAAUGGGCGCAAGCCUGACCCAGCAACGCCGCGUGAAGGAAGAAGGCUCUCUGGUUGUAAACUUCUUUUGUCAGGGACGAAGCAAGUGACGGUACCUGACGAAUAAGCUACGGCUAACUACGUGCCAGCAGCCGCGGUAAUACGUAGGUGGCAAGCGUUAUCCGGAUUUAUUGGGUGUAAAGGGCGUGUAGGCGGGAAUGUAAGUCAGAUGUGAAAACUAUGGGCUCAACCCAUAGCCUGCAUUUGAAACUGUAUUUCUUGAGUGCUGGAGAGGCAAUCGGAAUGCGGGGUGUAGCGGUGAAAUGCGUAGAUAUACGGAGGAACACCAGUGGCGAAGGCGGAUUGCUGGACAGUAACUGACGCUGAGGCGCGAAAGCGUGGGGAGCAAACAGGAUUAGAUACCCCAGUAGUC
rnacentral:rRNA from 1 species